rnacentral:lncRNA from 1 species
UUGAUUACCAGUUGUCUUUCUCAGGAAUUACGUAUGGAAAUUGCAAAACAAGAAUUAAUCGCUCAUGCCCGGGAAGCAGCAUCCAGGGUCCUGAGUGCACUGAGUACCGGCAGAUGUCAGAACGGAUGGCCUUGGAUGCCCGGAAGCGUGAGCAGUUUCAGAGGCUGAAAGAACAAUUUGUGAAGGACCAGGACGACGCCAGGCGGCCAGGCAGGAGGAGCUGGAUGAUGACUUCAGCUACGCCCGUGAACUCCGAGACAGGGAGAGAAGGCUGAAGUCCCUGGAGGAGGAGCUGGAGAGGAAGGCGAGCAGGCACUGGUCGACCACUACAGCAAGCUCUCUGCAGAGGCAGCUCGUCGGGAGCAGAAGGCACUGUGGAGAAUCCAGAGGCACCGACUGGAGAGUGCACGGCUUCGUUUUCUCUUAGAAGAUGAGAAACACAUUCAGAGAUGCUGAAAGCAGUGUCUGAGGCUCACCAGCCCCAGGAGCCGCCAGACGUCCUCUUGAGCGUGCACCCCCAGUCACGUCUCCGGGCCCUGAGCACCCAGAGGGAGGCCAAGGCUGUGAUUCUGGGUCUGCAGAGCAACACUCGCCUGCCUGGGAUGGCUGGAACAGGCCAGGCCUGCUGACCCCACA